rnacentral:rRNA from 1 species
GACGAACGCUGGCGGCGUGCUUAACACAUGCAAGUCGAACGGAAAGGCCUCUUUCGGGGGGUACUCGAGUGGCGAACGGGUGAGUAACACGUGAGUAACCUGCCCUUGACUUUGGGAUAACUUCAGGAAACUGGGGCUAAUACCGGAUAGGAGCUCCUGCUGCAUGGUGGGGGUUGGAAAGUUUCGGCGGUUGGGGAUGGACUCGCGGCUUAUCAGCUUGUUGGUGGGGUAGUGGCUUACCAAGGCUUUGACGGGUAGCCGGCCUGAGAGGGUGACCGGCCACAUUGGGACUGAGAUACGGCCCAGACGCCUACGGGAGGCAGCAGGGGGGAAUAUUGCACAAGGGGUGGAAGCCUGAUGCAGCAACGCCGUGGGCGGGAGGACGGCCUUCGGGUUGUAAACCGCUUUCGCUCAUGACGAAGCUUUGUGUGACGGUAGUGGGUAAAGAAGCACCGGCUAACUACGUG